UGGGGGAUCGUCCAAGGGCAGGACAUCAGAUUUUGGAUCUGAGAAUCUAGGUUCGAAUCCUAGUCCCCCAGCCA
rnacentral:tRNA from 1 species